ACAUGCAAGUCGAGCGAACAGACGAGGAGCUUGCUCCUCUGACGUUAGCGGCGGACGGGUGAGUAACACGUGGAUAACCUACCUAUAAGACUGGGAUAACUUCGGGAAACCGGAGCUAAUACCGGAUAAUAUAUUGAACCGCAUGGUUCAAUAGUGAAAGACGGUUUUGCUGUCACUUAUAGAUGGAUCCGCGCCGCAUUAGCUAGUUGGUAAGGUAACGGCUUACCAAGGCAACGAUGCGUAGCCGACCUGAGAGGGUGAUCGGCCACACUGGAACUGAGACACGGUCCAGACUCCUACGGGAGGCAGCAGUAGGGAAUCUUCCGCAAUGGGCGAAAGCCUGACGGAGCAACGCCGCGUGAAUGAUGAAGGUCUUCGGAUCGUAAAACUCUGUUAUUAGGGAAGAACAAAUGUGUAAGUAACUAUGCACGUCUUGACGGUACCUAAUCAGAAAGCCACGGCUAACUACGUGCCAGCAGCCGCGGUAAUACGUAGGUGGCAAGCGUUAUCCGGAAUUAUUGGGCGUAAAGCGCGCGUAGGCGGUUUUUUAAGUCUGAUGUGAAAGCCCACGGCCCAACCGUGGAGGGUCAU
rnacentral:rRNA from 1 species